rnacentral:rRNA from 1 species
CCGAGGAGUCCUGGCCGUUCGCGAGUCGUAGGGGCCCGUUACAAACCCCGGAGGCGUAGCGAAAGCGAGAGAGCGUGUUGGAGGGCACCGGAUUUGGAGAGGUGUUUCUGCUUCGGCGGUUCCCGAUCCUGCUGGCGCGACGAGUACUYGUACUUUCCGUCGUCCGCCCCGCGUUCGCUGUCAUCGCCGUAGUCGUCGGAUUUUCCCGUUCGCGGGAGAUGAUGUUUGUGGCUGCGGCGGGCGUGCGUGCGGGUUGUGCACGGCGGCGUCACUUUCCUCCUUCCGCCCACCGGUGAGAUCCUGCGGACACCAGUCACGCGGGCGCAUCACCCCCGGGUCGAUUUCCGACCACGAGUCGGUCGACUCAGGCGUAGCGAGCGACCAGGGACCCGAAAGAUGGCGAUCCACGCCCGGUCGGGAUGAAGCCAGAGGAAACUCUGGUGGAAGUCCGAAGCGCCUCUGACGUGCAAAUCGAUCGUCGGAACCGGGUGUAGGGGCGAAAGACCAAUCGAGCCGUCUA